rnacentral:rRNA from 1 species
GAUGAACGCUGGCGGCGCGCCUAACACAUGCAAGUCGAACGAUUAAAGCACCUUCGGGUGUGUAUAAAGUGGCGAACGGCUGAGUAACACGUGGGCAACCUGCCCCUCUCAUUGGGAUAGCCACGGGAAACCGUGGAUAAUACCGAAUACUUCGGGACUUCCGCAUGGAAGACUCGAGAAAGCUCCGGCGGAGAGGGAUGGGCCCGCGGCCUGUUAGCUUGUUGGUGGGGUAAUGGCCUACCAAGGCAAUGAUGGGUAGCUGGGUUGAGAGACCGACCAGCCAGAUUGGGACUGAGACACGGCCCAGACUCCUACGGGAGGCAGCAGUGGGGAAUCUUGCACAAUGGGCGAAAGACUGAUGCAGCGACGCCGCGUGCGGGAUGAAGGCCUUCGGGUUGUAAACCGCUUUCAGCAGGGACGAGGCGAAAGUGACGGUACCUGCAGAAGAAGCCCCGGCUAACUACGUG